rnacentral:rRNA from 1 species
AUUGAACGCUGGCGGCAUGCCUUACACAUGCAAGUCGAACGGCAGCACGGGAGCAAUCCUGGUGACGAGUGGCGAACGGGUGAGUAAUGCAUCGGAACGUGCCCAAUCGGUGGGGGAUAACGUAGCGAAAGUUACGCUAAUACCGCAUAAGCCCUGAGGGGGAAAGUGGGGGACCGCAAGGCCUCACGCGAAUGGAGCGGCCGAUGUCAGAUUAGCUAGUUGGUGGGGUAAAGGCUCACCAAGGCGACGAUCUGUAGCGGGUCUGAGAGGAUGAUCCGCCACACUGGGACUGAGACACGGCCCAGACUCCUACGGGAGGCAGCAGUGGGGAAUUUUGGACAAUGGGCGAAAGCCUGAUCCAGCCAUGCCGCGUGAGUGAUGAAGGCCCUAGGGUUGUAAAGCUCUUUCACCGGUGAAGAUAAUGACGGUAACCGGAGAAGAAGCCCCGGCUAACUUCGUG